UACGAGAGCCCCGAGCGUUAUCCGGAAUUAUUGGGCGUAAAGGGUGCGAUAGGCGGUAAUGUUAGUCUUUUUGUAAAUCCCCGGGCUUAACCUGGGAAUCGCGAAAGAAACGGCAUUGCUAGAGAGUGUGAGAGGUUUGCGGAACUCAUGGUGUAGGGGUGAAAUCCGUUGAUAUCAUGGGGAACACCAAAAGCGAAGGCAGCAAACUGGCACAUAUCUGACGCUCAAGCACGAAAGCGUGGGUAGCGAAUGGG
rnacentral:rRNA from 1 species